UGAGGAAUAUUGGUCAAUGGGCGUUAGCCUGAACCAGCCAAGUAGCGUGAAGGAUGAAGGCUCUAUGGGUCGUAAACUUCUUUUAUAUAAGAAUAAAGUGCAGUAUGUAUACUGUUUUGUAUGUAUUAUAUGAAUAAGGAUCGGCUAACUCCGUGCCAGCAGCCGCGGUAAUACGGAGGAUCCGAGCGUUAUCCGGAUUUAUUGGGUUUAAAGGGAGCGUAGGUGGACUGGUAAGUCAGUUGUGAAAGUUUGCGGCUCAACCGUAAAAUUGCAGUUGAUACUGUCAGUCUUGAGUACAGUAGAGGUGGGCGGAAUGCGCAGUGUAGCGGUGAAAUGCUUAGAUAUUGCGCAGAACUCCGAUUGCGAAGGCAGCGUACUGGCGCCUGACUGACGCUGAGGCACGAAAGCGUGGGGGAUCGAACAGGAUUAGAUACC
rnacentral:rRNA from 1 species